AUUGAACGCUGGCGGAAUGCUUUACACAUGCAAGUCGAGCGGCAGCGCGGGGCAACCUGGCGGCGAGCGGCGAACGGGUGAGUAAUGCAUCGGAACAUGUCCAUGUCGUGGGGGAUAGCCCGGCGAAAGCCGGAUUAAUACCGCAUACGCCCGAGAGGGGAAAGUGGGGGACCGCAAGGCCUCACGCGAUUGGGUUGGCCGAUGUCCGAUUAGCUAGUUGGCGGGGUAAAGGCCCACCAAGGCGAUGAUCGGUAGCUGGUCUGAGAGGAUGAUCAGCCACACUGGGACUGAGACACGGCCCAGACUCCUACGGGAGGCAGCAGUGGGGAAUUUUGGACAAUGGGGGCAACCCUGAUCCAGCCAUUCCGCGUGAGUGAAGAAGGCCUUCGGGUUGUAAAGCUCUUUUGUCCGGAACGAAACGGUGGACGUGAAUAUCGUCCAUUACUGACGGUACCGGAAGAAUAAGCACCGGCUAACUACGUG
rnacentral:rRNA from 1 species